GAUGAAGAACGCAGCGAAAUGCGAUAAGUAAUGUGAAUUGCAGAAUUCAGUGAAUCAUCGAAUCUUUGAACGCACAUUGCGCCCCCUGGUAUUCCGAGGGGCAUGCCUGUUCGAGCGUCAUUAUAACCCCUCAAGCUCAGCUUGGUGUUGGGGCCUGCUGCACUGGCAGCCCUUAAAAUCAGUGGCGGCGCCAUCUGGCUCUAAGCGUAGUAAUUCUUCUCGCUAUGGAGUCCUGGUGGAUGCUUGCCAUCAACCCCCAAUUUUUCUAUGGUUGACCUCGGAUCAGGUAGGGAUACCCGCUGAACUUAAGCAUAUCAAUAAGCGGAGGA
rnacentral:misc_RNA from 1 species